UUUCGCAAUGCCCGAAAGGGUGACGAAGCGACGCCGCGUGGGUGAGGAAGGCCCUCGGGUUGUAAAGCCCUGUCAGGAGUUAAGAAAUAUAAGUGUGCUAAUACCACAUUUAUUUGACGAAGGCUCCAAAGGAAGCCACGGCCAACUCUGUGCCAGCAGCCGCGGUAAUACAGAGGUGGCAAGCGUUGUUCGGAAUUAUUGGGCGUAAAGAGCACGUAGGUGGGUUUGUAAGUCAGAUGUGAAAGCCUUCUGUUCAACGGAAGAAUUGCAUCUGAAACUACGAAUCUUGAGUGUAGGAGGGGAGAAUGGAACUUCUGGUGGAGCGGUGAAAUGCGUAGAUAUCAGAAGGAACGCCGGCGGCGAAAGCGAUUCUCUGGCCUAUUACUGACACUCAGUGUGCGAAAGCUAGGGGAGCAAACGGGAUUAGAUACCCCGGUAGUCCUAGCCGUAAACGAUGGGCACUAAGUAGAGGGUUUUA
rnacentral:rRNA from 1 species